rnacentral:rRNA from 1 species
GAUGAACGCUGGCGGCGUGCUUAACACAUGCAAGUCGAACGAAGCACCUCUGAUUGAUUCUUCGGAUGAAAGAUUUGGUGACUGAGUGGCGGACGGGUGAGUAACGCGUGGGUAACCUGCCUCAUACAGGGGGAUAACAGUUAGAAAUGACUGCUAAUACCGCAUAAGCGCACGGUACCGCAUGGUACAGUGUGAAAAACUCCGGUGGUAUGAGAUGGACCCGCGUCUGAUUAGCUAGUUGGUGAGGUAACGGCUCACCAAGGCGACGAUCAGUAGCCGGCCUGAGAGGGUGAACGGCCACAUUGGGACUGAGACACGGCCCAAAAUCCUACGGGAGGCAGCAGUGGGAAUAUUGCACAAUGGGGGAAACCCUGAUGCAGCGACGCCGCGUGAAGUGAAGAAGUAUUUCGGUAUGUAAAAGCUCUAUCAGCAGGGAAGAAAAAUGACGGU